rnacentral:misc_RNA from 1 species
AUUUCUUCGAGCGACAGCUUUUUUCACAAAGGGCUGGCGGAUCGGUUUUGAGGGGUUGCCAUUUGCACUGGCUCCCUCUAAAUGCAUUAGCUGGAUUGCAGAUCGAGGAUGGAAGGAUAUACGUCCCUCUCCCUUCGGAUUUUGAUAAUUAUCAAGAGACGAGGGUGAUGGAAACUCCCCCGACCUCGGACUGUAUCGGUCUGGCUUCUCAAACCCGCCCAUGGCCUGAACCCUUCACGGGGCGACGGUGUAGGGAAUUUUAAUUC